UGUGGUUCUCAUCUCUGUGAGUAAUAUACAAAAAACAGAAUUUUAUUAUCUUUAUUUUAUCCAGAAAUAUUCAAGGAGUAUCAUCUUUGUAGGACACACCCUAGCUGUAUACUAUAACAUUACCAUUGCAAUAAUACUCGUGAUAGGCGUUAAUAAACAGUGGUAAUUAUCGGUUACUUGUAGGUACCAGGUAAGCAUGUUCGAUUCCCGCUGAAACCCGAUCGUUUUCAAUGUUUUCAAUUUGUUUAAUGCAAUCUGUGAAGGACUAAACAGACAAAAGUAUGACUAUAAUGCGACGAAAUGUCUCGCACAAACCGACGAGCUGCACAGACUCGUGUUAUAUAAGAUUUUAGUGUGAUACAAUUCAAUAUUUCGGAUUAUUACACCUCCUGCUCCCCCGAUCAUCCGAGAGCGUCAGUUUAAUAUAAAUUCCUCGGCGAGGGUAAUAACCGAUAUAUAUAUUUUUUUCUUUUACGGUCUGUAAAAAUAUUAUUUGACCAGACUACACAAUUAUAGUCCCCGCCGACCCCAUAACCCUAAACGCAAUAUUAGAAUUGUUUGUCUCUUUUUGCGGACGCGUUUAUAUAGUGUUCUCGAUCACGCUUAAAAUAUAUCGAACCGUAAUAAUCAAACCGCCGACAGAUACGAUACCGAUGACUUCAAUAUUAUACGUAU